rfam:Felis catus isolate Cinnamon breed Abyssinian chromosome B1, whole genome shotgun sequence.
GCCUAGGUGGCUCAGUAGGUUAAGCGUCUGACUUGGGCUCAGGUCAUGAUCUCACUGUCCGUGGGUUCGAGCCCCGCAUCAAGCU